UAGGGAAUAUUGGGCAAUGGAUGCAAGUCUGACCCAGCCAUGCCGCGUGCCGGAAGAAGGCCCUCAGGGUUGUAAACGGCUUUUAUUCGGGAAGAAGAGCAGGGAUGCGUCCUUGUGUGACGGUACCGAAUGAAUAAGCACCGGCUAACCCCGUGCCAGCAGCCGCGGUAAUACGGAGGGUGCGAGCGUUGUCCGGAUUUAUUGGGUUUAAAGGGUGCGUAGGUGGCUUUAUAAGUCAGUGGUGAAAUACAGCCGCUCAACGGUUGAGGUGCCAUGGAUACUGUAGAGCUUGAGACGAUUGGAGGCUGCGGGCAUGGAUGGUGUAGCGGGGAAAUGCAUAGAUAUCAUCCAGAACACCGAUUGCGAAGGCAGGUGGCUACGUUUGAUUUGCCACUGAGGCACGAAAGCAUGGGGAGCAAAC
rnacentral:rRNA from 1 species